CCUGAAGCUUAGUUGGUAAAGAACUUGUCUGCAAUGCAGGAGACUCGGGUUCGAUCCCUGGGUCAGGA
rnacentral:tRNA from 1 species